CGGGGCACCCUCGCGUCACUUCCUGCCAAGGCCGGAAGGGGCCAUAGAGAACACGCUCGGACGCUAGAGCGCCACAGCGAGUGCCACAGAGGAGCGGGUCUUCCCCCAAAUGGGGCCGUGGGGCGGGGUUGGGAGACGGAGCCCGCCUUCCUGGCCGGUGAAACGCGCGGAUCCGUGCUCAGGUGGAGAAGGGGAUUAGAGAAAGCCCCGCCCUGCACCUGCUGUUUCCCAGGAGCCUGAGCCCGAAAUAACCCGGAUGCCAGAGCGGGGCGUUUAGGGGCGUGCUCGGCCGCCUUCAAUACCCGAUCAAGCUCCCCUAGUAAUUUUCCGUGCGCUGCCCUCCUCUCCUGCCCUGGCGUGAACGCCCAGCUGCCCUGCUGUGUUCAGGGUCGGGAUCGCUCUCUCAUCACGAUGAUCUUGGGUUAAAUCUUCCUUGCGUUUUUUUCUUUUUUUAAAGAUUGGCACCUGGGCUAACAACUGUUGCCAACUUUUUUUUCUUUUUCUGCUUUAUCUGUGUGUCUUUUUGCUUGCUCAGUUUCUCCAGAAUAGAUUUUUGGGGAAGAGUCCAACAGUUCAUGCUAUUAUAUGCCAUUUUGACAGGCUUUGAGAAUAUUCAUAGUUUGAUAGUAGCCAACACUGGAAACGACCCAACUGUCCACCAACAGAAGAGUGAUAAGUCAGUUGUGAGACAUUUAUCAAAAUGGACGGCCCCAUUGAGAAGUGCUAAGCUACACACAACAGCAUGAAUGCCUAUCAGGAUGGUGACAUAGAGGGAAAAAGCGGAUCACAGAAGAACGCAUCUAGUAUGAUUCCAUUUGCGUAGCUUAACACGUCAGACUGAAGAUUAUAUUACUUAGGGUUACCUUCAUAUGUGGUAAAUCUAUGAAGACAACCCAGUGUCGAUACAUUAUUCCCGAAAAGCGGAGCUGAACUUACUGUCUCUAAGGCCUCGUGUCGACCGUGCAACUGAGUCGUAAGUGAUUCAUUUUUCUGGAGCCCAACUAACAUCUCUGAGCCGACUUCGUGACCCUGUAGGGGUCAGCUUUUGCGGUGGUGACGUUGGCCAAAAAGCAACUGUGAACUCCCAGGGCUCUCCAACAGUACACGGCGACAGCCAUUCCCUCGGCGUGGUGGCUGUGUCGGCUGCGGCGCCACGUCCUCACCGUCGGGGCCCUGGCUGCGGGGACUCCCCUCUGGUGCCACUGUGCUCUCACGGCAGAGGGAAGGGACAAGAUGGGCAGGGCGACUCCCUCAAGCACUGGGGACGCUUCUGCGUGUUGAUCCGUCAUGUCCGCUCGUGUGCAGGGGCCGAGGGACCACACCACGAGCUCGCACAUGGGGCGGGGGCCUGUGCUGCCUCCAGGACACAAGGCGAGAACAAGUGCGAACCUAUAGCAGGAGCCUCCACAGAUACUGAGGGAAAAAGCUUUAGAACCACAGUCUUAGGGCUGGAGGGAACCUCAGACUUGAAUCCUCUCGCUGCUUCCCCUGCCAGGAGCAUCUCUCCUUCAUCCCAGACUCGGCUCUUCCACCCCAGCUGAGCCCUGCUGAUGACAGACCCACCCUCUUCCCGAGGCAGCUCUGUUGGAAAGUGCAUCCCUCUGAUAAGCCCCAAUCUCGCUCUCCCUCACCCCGGCUGGUUCUCGUUCUGCCCUCGGCACACCUCAUCCCCCCGCCUCAUGACAGCCUGGCACAGACGCUGCUGGCUGCCUGACUUGCAGCCGUGGCAUCCUUCUCACUCCCAGAAGGCUGUGUUUAGGUGGUAUUUGCCCUGCCCCAAGGGAAGAAUCAGGGUUGGUCAUGGAAAUCCUCUUUGCCAACAUUUAUUCUAAGGAAAGACUGUGACAUCGACCUGGUCAAUAAGAUAAAAGGGGAUGUUUGCUAGGGGCUCCUGGGAAAUUUUUCCUCCCUGAGAAAAGAGAGGCAUGUGAAGUGAAGGCUAUCUCUUAUCCACGUUUGUUUUGGCUCAGCACACCAGACUGUAGAAUGUGAUGCUUGGUGCUGCAGCAGCUAUCUUGUGACGAUGAGGAAAGACAUCACCAAAUCAGUAAGAGAAAGGAGCAGAAAUGUGGAAGGAGCCUGGAUCAUUUCCAGUGGUUUUACUGUUGUUCAGGUAUUUUUAAAUUUUUGAAAAUUUAAGUUAUACACUGAAUUAGCAUUGCUAAUCUAACAAGGUGACAUGCGCUAUGUUCAGAAAGUGUUCUUGUAUAUCUACCUAAUCCUCAAGAGAAGAAAGAAAGUGCUAAUCAACAAAGCACAGCUUCUGUUGCAAGAAUAAUCCUUAUUCUGGUCAAAGACUUUUUGAUCAAGUGGAAGACGAUAAGGCUGGUUUUGAAAGCAAUGCAGUAACCUGGCCAUGGAGUCUCUGAGGGCUCAUGAUUACCCGAAGCCUAGGACACACCGGAAAUAUUUCCUUUGAAACAAAAAACACAUCUCAUUAUCAUUAUAAAUGAUAACAGUCCAUGUGCAAAUCCCAAAAUGUUCACAACAUCCUCUCUGAAUUAUCAUCCCCCCCCACCUGCUAGUGUAGAAUGAAAAAGAGCAUUUUGGGCACCUAGUACAAUUUUACAAAAAUACACCAUGACUCAGAGAUGGCCCAUUGAUAUGUUUUGUCUUUUAAGAUUGAACUUUAAAAAAGAUAAAAUAUUAUUGUAUCACUUAAAAAUGUUUAUUAUUAAUUGUAUUUUCCACUUGUAUAGUUUAAUUUGUUUUUAAUAUUUUAAUUAGUUUUACCUGCUAAUAUUUUAUUUGCUAAUUGAAUGAUUAAUUAUAUUUAAUCUUUACCUUUAUGAAUUUAUGGUUCAUUUGAUGUUUUGUAAUAUGUUUAUAACAUAUUUUAAAUGCAUUGGAUAUUAAGUUGCCUUAACAUUUUAUCAUAUGAAUUACAAACUAUUUUCAGUAAAAAUACUGUAUUUAUGUGAAAA